CCGGCCUGGGAGUGGAAGCGGGCAGGCACCUGGGCUGUGAAUCUGUGCUCAUUUGCACAGCCGGCCGGAAUAAAACUAACAGAAGGAAGGAAGGAUAAGAGGCCCCAGGGAUGCUCAUUUUAUCCAAAAGAAACAGGACACAUGUCCUGCCACACGAAGCCCACCAGUGGCAGAGCAAGGAUCUGGUGGGUCCCAAUGAAGAGACCGACCCAGGACAGCACCAGGAAAGCUCAGAGUCUCCUUCCUCAGUGUUUUAUAAUAGAUUGUUGUCGUAGGUCUGGAAACUGCUCUUGGGAGCAAUGUGCUUGUCCACAUGAGAUAGUUUAUCUCUUCUAUUUGGCAAGUGAGAAAAUGUAAUUUUCUCUGUGUGAUGAGUAUGGGUGAGUGGUUCAUGCAUAGUGAGUUUCCAUCCUCCAAAUUGUGGGACAAGAGACUGUGAAGUAUGCAUUUUAACAAGUGUCCAUUACCUUACAAUGCCAGGGGAAUGAAUAGGCGCUGGACAUCUAUAUGGGUGCUCUCCACUGCGUUCAUGUCAGCUGGUGUCAUUCUUCUAUGGAUUCUGCUGUCAGAGAUUGAGCUAUUUCUUAUUUUUACCCCAGAGGGAAGAUGCCUAAAGACACAGCUGGCAUGGGGCAAGCACUGGCCGUGUUUGAGGAACCCCCUGGACCAUGACUUCUAGAUGAUGGAGCUCCCGCAGCAGCCAGGUCAGCAUGUUCAUGGCCCCAGCAUUUCUAAACAUGGAUGUGGAUUUGACAGAUAAGGAAAACUGUCUCUUGCCAUCUCCAUCAACACUCAGUAAAUGUGGAAUUGGAUCACUAUCUCCAACCACCCCUCAACUCUCCUGAUGCCGGCGAGAAAUGCACUGCUAUAAUUGCCAAAAUGAGCACCACAUGGUUUUGUUGUUGUUGUUUACAUGAACUAAAAAACCUAAAGGGACAUUUAAGAGUUUGUUUCUAAGUGCUGAGAUAAUUUUUGCUUCAAAAAUCGAAAAUUGGCCAGGCAUGGUAGCUCACGCCU